rnacentral:lncRNA from 1 species
CAUCUUUGAGGCCAUGAAGUUGCUGGAUGGUUGCUCAUUGCUUGUGCUGCUUCAAUGCCAGGUCGCACUCAGCAAAGCCCAGGGACAAGAGAAGAGGAAGGACUCAAAGGAGCCAAGGCAGACAGUGAAAAAUCAGCAAGGAGCUCUCCAAGUAACAAACCACAGCAUCAACAUGCAGCACUCUGCAGACUAAUGGGAGUCACACUGGAAUUGGCAUCGUGUGCUGAAGUCUCAACAGAUGGAGAGGGUGGUCAUGAUGGAGGAGUGGGACAACAAACCUCCCUUUGCACUUCUGCCCCCAAUGACACACUUCACCCCCAUCUCAGCUCACCCAUCUGUUAAAUCCAUGAAAAAUACUUCCUAAAAUAUGGAUUUACCCAGAGGGCAAGCUGGCUAUGGGCACAGAGCAGGGUGGCAGAGGCCUUGAGGGGGCUGAGAGCUUUGGAUUUUUUAAAUGAGGUUCAGAUGAGAGGGGAUAGAAGGAUCCGGGGGAUUGCAUCUCACUCUGCACUACAGCAAUGGGAUCCUCACUGUUUGCACCCCCUGAGCAUUCAGGCCUGCCCAGGACUCUCAAAUCUCUGUUUUGUUGUACAUUGCAGCAGAGACAGCCUGAGGGUUGAGCUGCAUCCUGGAGGCAGAGGGCUGCUGCCAGCUCUGCCCUGGAGCAUCCUCUUCUUGGAUUGCUGAUUCACACCAAAAAAAUCAACCAAUUUUCCUUCCAGCCUGAUUCAGUUACUGUCACUGGCUCCUUCUUUUCCUUAUUAAUGUCCCUAGGAAGUGAAAACCUUGUAAUUACAAUCAGGUCUCUUGCUACCCCCAAGUUGCUGUUCUGAACUCCUCCUCCUCUUUAUUGAGGAGCAUUUACACCCAUAGCUAUGUUUUGGCAAGCUGGAGGGGUUUCUGACACUUGGAAAUGAGAGCUUUAUAAAAUGUACCACACGUCAACACCUCCUGUUUUAUAAAACGAGGAUUAUUAGUUACAAAUCAGGUCAAAUGAAAAAGAAAAAAAAAGUGAGAAAUAGCAAAGUCUUCAGAGGAGUAUAAAUAGCCAGUGGAAAUUGGUAGUGCAGCCUGGUGUAACACAGCCAUUCCAGGCAGGCUCAAUUAUUUCUCCAGCUGCUCUGAAAUCCCCCUCACUUUGCUACCUAUUAGGAGCAUUUGCCCUAUUUAUAGGAGACAUUGUAGCAGUGAAACUCUGGAUGAGAUUGGACGUGGAUGCUCCUGGAAAAUCCUCCCUGUGUCAGCUGCAGCUGGCAGUGCAAACCUGGUGCCUCAGCACUGCUCGGGGUCACCUGCCUGUGGACAGGAGCAUCUCACCUGCUUAAAACUGUCAAAUCACUGA